AAGGAGGCGCAGCCGUCGCUAUGGGAACGCGGCCUGGCUGCCCCUGCGGCCUAGCCGGGCCCUGCGCGGGGAUGGAUGGUGCCUGUUAUGAAUAAAAACUCUCUCAAGAAAUCCAGCCCAGUUAAAAUACUGGGGCUGUGGGCCCCGAGGCAUAUGCAAACUAAGGCACACCAGACACCAAAACAAUAAGCCAACAAGGAAAUAAAAGGCCAAAGAGACAUAUCCUAGCAAGCUACAAUGGAAGACUGUCUUCCUGCAGCACCUGAGCCUGCUCAAAAGGUGUCACCAUGACCACAGAGGACUGGGAAAGUGGACAACAGGCCUGAGAAAGCAGGCCUCAUGGCUGCUCUUGUGAGGAUGGAAACUCCAGUUUUGCAGUGUGUGCUGAAAAGCUGAAUUGUGCCCUCUCCUUGGAGCUGCCAGUGUGGGAACAAUGGUGGAACAAUGGGAGUGGUGCCUUGGGCCCCCACCCCAAGGCUGAAUUCUAAUAAAAGUGUAAAAUGG